rnacentral:rRNA from 1 species
UACGUAGGGGGGCAAGCGUUUGUCCGGAAUCAUUGGGCGUAAAGAGCGUGUAGGCGGCUCGGUAAGUCCGCUGUGAAAGUCCAGGGCUCAACCCUGGAAUGCCGGUGGAAACUGUCGAGCUAGAGUCCGGAAGAGGCGAGUGGAAUUCCUGGUGUAGCGGUGAAAUGCGCAGAUAUCAGGAGGAACACCAAUGGCGAAGGCAGCUCGCCGGGACGGUACUGACGCUGAGACGCGAAAGCGUGGGGAGCAAACAGG